rnacentral:rRNA from 1 species
UACAGAGGGGGCAAGCGUUGUUCGGAAUUACUGGGCGUAAAGGGCGCGUAGGCGGCCUGUUAAGUCGGACGUGAAAUCCCCGGGCUCAACCCGGGAACUGCGUCCGAUACUGGCAGGCUUGAAUCCGGGAGAGGGAUGUGGAAUUCCAGGUGUAGCGGUGAAAUGCGUAGAUAUCUGGAGGAACACCGGUGGCGAAGGCGGCAUCCUGGACCGGCAUUGACGCUGAGGCGCGAAAGCCAGGGGAGCAAACGGG